CCUUAAUUCACUUCUUUUGUCUUUAUAUUGUGUAUAUAUAUACUGGUAUUACAUAAAUGAACCUGUUCAGUAUUCUUGUUGCAUUGGGUUUGGCUGUGAAACUUGAGUGAUUUGCACUUGUUGCUGAAAAGGAAUGCUUCCAACUAGCCCGCACGGGCAGCUCAGUUGGUUUCCGGGUCCCAAAUUAUGGGCAAGGGCGCAGGAUCCAGCCCGGCAGCCACGAGAGUUUCACCCUCUUGUGGGGUGGCUCUUUGUGGGCUGCACGUCCUCCCAUAUAAUGGGCUGUUGAGUCACCAGGCCGGGGUGUAGGUGAUCGAGCCCGGAUAGCUAAGAGAGUUACACCCUCUUGUGGGGUGGCUCCCACGUCGUACUGGGUCAUUGAGUCACCGUGAUUUACUCCUGUCUGUCGGGAUGUAGGUGAUCGAGCCCGGAUAGCUAAGAGAGUUACACCCUCUUGUGGUGUGGCUCCCACGUCCUACCGGGUCAUUGAGUCACCGUGAUUUACUCAUCUACGCUCCUGUCGGGUGGGGUGUAAGGGUCCUUCGAGCAAGGGAUUUUGCCUAUGGGCAAUGAAUGCUUCCAACUAACUUUGGGUUCUUUUAGUUGGCAAGAUCUUGAGGCUUUUCUCCAUUUUUUUCCUUUUUCAUUUAUAUAUGUCUGAAUUGAGAAGUUUAUAAUUUAUGUGGUAUGUUAAGUGCAUAUGUUUUGUGGUUCUUGGUUAAAAGCUGCUAGAACUUCAGUAUGGCAUC